rnacentral:rRNA from 1 species
CCUACGGGUGGCAGCAGUGAGGAAUAUUGGUCAAUGGGCGGGAGCCUGAACCAGCCAAGUCGCGUGAGGGAAGACGGUCCUAUGGAUUGUAAACCUCUUUAGGCGGGGAGCAAUGCCGGGCACGCGUGCCCGGAGGGAGAGUACCCGCAGAAUAAGCAUCGGCUAACUCCGUGCCAGCAGCCGCGGUAAUACGUAGGGAGCAAGCGUUGUCCGGAUUUACUGGGUGUAAAGGGUGCGUAGGCGGCCCUGCAAGUCAGAAGUGAAAUCCAUGGGCUUAACCCGUGAACUGCUUUUGAAACUGUAGGGCUUGAGUGAAGUAGAGGCAGGCGGAAUUCCCGGUGUAGCGGUGAAAUGCGUAGAGAUCGGGAGGAACACCAGUGGCGAAGGCGGCCUGCUGGGCUUUAACUGACGCUGAAGCACGAAAGCGUGGGUAGCAAACAGGAUUAGAUACCCGUGUAGUC